UACAGAGGGGGCAAGCGUUAUUCGGAAUUAUUGGGCGUAAAGGGCGCGUAGGCGGUCGUUCAAGUGGUAGGUGAAAUCCCUCGGCUCAACCGAGGAGCUGCCCGCCAAACUGAAUGACUUGAGUCCGGGAGAGGUGAGUGGAAUUCCCAGUGUAGCGGUGAAAUGCGUAGAUAUUGGGAGGAACACCAGUGGCGAAGGCGGCUCACUGGACCGGCACUGACGCUGAGGCGCGAAAGCGUGGGGAGCAAAC
rnacentral:rRNA from 1 species